AUUUUUUUACUUGGCAAAAACUAUUAAUGCUAAAAUUCCAAAAGAUAAUUGAUAGCCUGGGAAAACUUACCUGCAACAUAUAUCCCAGAAAAAGUUAAUUUUAAUGAAAUGAAAGUACUGCAUAUCUAAUAAGGAGGAAAAAUAAUCAAAAAGAAAAUAAGCAAGGGAUACAGAGAUGGUUCAUAGAAAAGGAACAAAAAAUCGCCUUUUGGUAUGCAUGUUUUCAUCUGUUUGGACUAUCAUAACAAAAUAUCACAAACUGAGUAGCUUAAAAAACAUAAAUUUAUUUUCUUAUAGUUUUGAAGGCUGGAAGUUCAAGAUAGGGGUGCCAGUACAGUUGAUUUCUGGUGAAGGGCUGUCUUCCUGACUUGUAGAUGGCCACUUGCUUUUUGUGUCUUGACAUGGCUGUUAUUCCGCAUGUGGGAGGAGAGAAAGAAAUCUCUGGUGUCUCUUCCUCUUCUUGUAAGAACACUAUCAGAUUAGGUUCCCACACUUACAACUUUCAUUUAAGCUUAAUAUCUCCUUAAAGGUCCUAUCUCCAAAUCCAGUUCCAUCAGUCAUUAGGGCUUUAACAUGAAAUACGGGUAGACACAUUUCAGGGUACAAUAAUGUGAAAAGAUAAUUAUCCUCGCUGAUAGGAAUAAAAUAUAAAUUAAACCUACAAUUUUUACCUAGUAAAAGUUUAAUGUGAACUAGAUUUUUUCAGAUGUAAGGCCAGGUGUGGUGACUCAUGCCUGUAAUCCCAGCACUUUGGGAGGCCAAGUGGGCAGAUCAUUUGAGGUCAGGAGUUCGAGACCAACCUGGCCAACAUGAUGAACCUCUGUCUAUAGUAAAAAUACAAAAAUUAGCCGGGAGUGGUGGCAUGUACUUGUAGUCUCAGCUACUCAGGAGGCUGAGGCAGGAGAAUCACAUGAACCCAGGAAGAGAGGUUGCAGUGAGCUGAGAUCAUGCCACUGCAUUCCAGCCACCUUUUUUCCCCAAUAGUGAUAUGGUUCAGGUCUGUGUACCCACCCACAUCUCAUGUCAAAUUGUAAUCCCCAGUGUUGGAGGUGGGGCCUGGUGGGAGGUGAUUGGAUCAUGGGGUCAGAUUUCCUCCUUGGUGCUGCUUUCAUGAUACUGAGUGAAUGCUUGUGAGAUUUGGUUGUUUAAAAGUGUGGCACGUCCCCACUCUGUCUUCUUCCUGGUUUGGCCACGAAAGACGUGCGUGCUUUCCCUUCACCUUCUGCCAUGAUUU
rnacentral:lncRNA from 10 species